AUGCCGGAGUUGCCCCUCCAGCUCACCCCGUUGUGCUUGGGCAGGUGACCAGCUGACAAUUCCAGACCAUGACACAACGUGAGAACUCACAAGAUACGUAUGGAGACAGUCGUCACUUUUUCCAAGGUGAAGUUUCUUCCGGUAAAACAUGGGCAUACGUGGUAACUCGGCCGGAUCUCGACCGUCCAAGGCAUGCUAAAUGUAGGAGGACAGGAUGAGGUGGCGAGGGAGCGAGAGGAGGAGGAGGAGGACAAAGAGCUACAGUGGUAGCUACAAUUGUUUGCAUGCCCCCAGUUUGUACCACGCAAAAGCAGAUCUGGUGUCGGGCCGGUGCAGUGGAGUGCAAGGGUCGACGAACGAGAGGUGGAAGGAACUCGAAGCAAGGUAAAAAAUAAAAGAAAGGAUGGAGAUGAAAAAAAA